UGGUUAAGCACCAAUAACCGGGAAGGGAACCUGAGCCUUACCUCAAACAGCCCUGACUACUGGAAAUGAAGCAACGUCAUCCUGGCUCUUCCUGAUGCCAGUGGGGGCAGAAAACAAAUUUGCAGAGUGCCUCACUCAGGAAUAUGAGAAUCUUCAGUCUGCUGGGAAACGUUGGGAAAGGGAACUCAGACCCUGGGAGGUAAACACUGGAAUAAGACAAUAGAUGAGGACUGUCUCAUGUAUCUUAUGCUUACAUAGUGCUUACUAUGGGCCAGGACCAAACCUAUAUUAACACAUUUAAUCCUGGGCGUUAUUGAGCUGGACACUAAAUAGUUAUAGCACUAUUUUUAGGCCCAUUUUACAGCUGAAAAUACUGAGAUAUUGAAAAGUUACGACAACUUUCCCAAGGAACUAGCUAGGAAGUGAUGGAGCUGGGGUUCAACCCAGGUAGUCUGGCCCCAAGGUAUAUGCCCUAAACCACUUUGCUUUGGCUGCCCCUUGUUGCCAGUAGUCAAGAGAGGGGGUCAAGUCAGAGGAAAAAGGCCCUACAUUAAACUGCCAAAAGUACACUUGGACGACACCCUGCUAUAUGCAUCCUCUCUGUCUCCAGCCUCUGUUGAGAACUCUGGACUCUUCUCUCCAGACAAACGCAGUAGCCCCUUUUUUUUUUUUUUUUAUUAAGAAUUUACUGAGCACUCACUGGGGGACAGAGACUGUGCUAGGCUUGGACUGGGCCUUGUGCAAUGCACACAAAAUGUCCCUUUUCGGGGAAGCCCCAUCCUCUCUCCUUCCUUAGAGCUCUAACCUAGCCUUCAGGCCAUUCUCUAGGAUGAACUGAAGAACAGAGGGGUUUGAAUAAACACGCAAAAGGGAUUCUGGGGCAAAUAAGUUUGGGAAACAUGAGGCUAGCACCCUUACUGCAGGCCUUCUCAGAGCCUUUAGUGUGCUAGUGGCCCUGAGAUCAACCAAGAGGAGUCAGUGUACAGGGCUUCUCAGAUCACUCAACAGGGAAAACUUUCUUUUUCUUCUUCUUCUUUUUUUAAACCCAUUUUAUAGGGCUGAUGUAUCACAGAACACAGCUUGGGAGCCUGGGAUAUUUUGUCCUACAAUAAUACCUACUAUGUCAAAUUCAUAUUGGGUUUUGACUGUGGGUCCGUUGGCAGGACUCUGAGGCUGGGUACUUUGUCCUGCAUCUCUGCCAAGCUCCUGCCUUCAGCCAGGCCUAAAUCAGAAGAGUUCUCUGCAAGUUUUCUUCCACAAUGGUGUGAUGGUUAAUAUUGAGUGCCAACUUGAUUGGAUUGAAGGAUACAAAGUAUUAUUCCUGGGUGUGUGUGUGAGGGUGUUGCCAAAGGAGAUUAACAUUUGAGUCAGUGGGCUGGGAAAGGCAGACCCACCCUUAAUAUGGAUUGGCAAAAUCUAAUCAGCUUCCUGGCUAGAAUAUAAGCAGGCAGAAAAAUGUGAAAGGAGGGACUGGCCUAGCCUCCCAGCCUACAUCUUUCUCCUGUGCUGGAUGCUUCCUGGCCUCAAAAAUCGGACUCCACGUUCUUCAGUUUUGGAAGCUGGACUGGCUCUCUUUGCUCCUCAGCCUGCAGACAGCCUAUUGUGGGAUCUUGUGACAGUGUGAGUUAAUACUUAAUAGACUACCCUUAUCAUAUAUAUAUGUGUGUGUGUGUAUAUAUACAUACAUAUGCACGUAUAUAUAUAUAUGUGUGUGUGUGUGUGUGUGUGUGUGUGUGUAUACAUACAUAUAUAUAUCUAGAACCACUCCU
rnacentral:lncRNA from 1 species